rnacentral:rRNA from 1 species
UGAGGAAUAUUGGACAAUGGGCGCAAGCCUGAUCCAGCCAUGCCGCGUGAGUGACGAAGGCCUUCGGGUUGUAAAGCUCUUUCAGAUGCGAAGAUAAUGACGGUAACAUCAGAAGAAGCCCCGGCUAAAUUCGUGCCAGCAGCCGCGGUAAUACGAAUGGGGCAAGCGUUGUUCGGAAUCACUGGGCUUAAAGCGUGCGUAGGCGGAUUUGCAAGUCAGAAGUGAAAUCCCAGGGCUUAACCCUGGAAUUGCUUUUGAAACUGCAAAUCUAGAAUCUUGAAGAGGUUAGCAGAAUUCCGAGUGUAGAGGUGAAAUUCGCAGAUAUUCGGAGGAAUACCAAUGGCGCAGGCAGCUAACUGGGCAAGUAUUGACGCUGAGGCACGAAAGCGUGGGGAGCAAACAGG